ACUUAUACAAACUUAUACUUUACAUAUACACCACUUAUAAGUGGCCUAUAAGUUACCCAUAUAUUGGUAUAAGUGAAGUAUCAGUGUGUAUAAGUAUAAGUGAAAAGAAUGGUUAACCGAUACAUCACUGAUACUCCACAUAUAUUUCACCUAUAAGUGGUUUAUCAGUGGUAUAAGUGUUCUGGAAUUAAGAUAUUUUUUGUUUGUUUCUAUAAGUGAAAUAUAAGUGAACAAUUAGUUUGGAGAUAGUCUUUUUGAAAAGGAAAUGAUGUGUUCCAAAUGAACAGGGAAAAAACUAAGUCCAAAAAAAUUUCAUGGUUAUUUUUUAAAAAUUCAUAACUUCUCACAGGAUUUAUCAAAUUCAUUGGGAACAGUGGCUAAACAACCAAACAUACAUCUAACAGAAUUUGAUAGUAUUUCCAGUAAUAAUAUUUUUUUUUAUUAAUAUUAAUAUUAAUACACAUGAUGCUAUAUGAUUAUAAUUAUCCCAUGCUACCUCCUCACUUAAAUAGACCCUCCAGACUCACCACCUGUCACAAUAAAUAUCUGUAAAAUUGUAGUGGCAGGGCAGAGGGUGUGUGUGUGUGUGUGUGUGUGUGUGUGUGUGUGUGUGUGUGUGUGGAGGUGAGCUCCAUUUCAGUGUGUUUAUUACAGCAUGGAUUUAUUUUAUCUAUUAAUGGUAAUUUGUAUUUACAUAUAAAAAAGUUAAUUAACUAAAAAAAAAAAAAAAAAAAAAAACACAAGAAAAACAAAGACAACAACAAUGACAUCAGGAAUUCAGAUAGAACAAGGGAUUAUUAUGAGAGGUGCAAAAUCCUGAGAUUAAUAGCCUUGCCAUCUUAGGCAGUAUGGUGCAACUUCAAAAGGACUUAAUUCAGACACCACUGUGUGGGUCUCCAGCCAGUAGGAGGAAACCCAAAGAAGAAAACCAAAAUGGCGGCACCUGGACAUUUUCUUUGUGCACAUGUGUUUAGUUAAGACUAUACCUCAUGUCCGUGGAACAAGUCUAUCAUACAGGAAAACUAAUUUGAAUCCCAUCUGAAUGUUGGAUGACAUAUAUCAAGAUGGCACUGAACAGGACAUAACUGAAGAAAAGGGAUGUGAGAGAAUCCAAUCUAACAUUUAAAAAUAAAUAUAUAUAUAUAUUA